rnacentral:rRNA from 1 species
AGAGUUUGAUCCUGGCUCAGGAUGAAUUCUUGGCGGCGUGCUUAACACAUGCAAGUCGAACGGGAAUUACUUUAUUGAAACUUCGGUCGAUUUAAUUUAAUUCUAGUGGCGGACGGGUGAGUAACGCGUGGGUAACCUGCCCCUGUACAGGGGGAUAACAGUCAGAAAUGGCUUGCUAAUACCGCAUAAGACCACAGAGUUGCAUGGUGCAGGGGUAAAAACUCCGGUGGUACAGGAUGGACCCGCGUCUGAUUAGCUGGUUGGUGAGGUAACGGCUCACCAAGGCGACGAUCAGUAGCCGGCUUGAGAGAGUGAACGGCCACAUUGGGACUGAGACACGGCCCAAACUCCUACGGGAGGCAGCAGUGGGGAAUAUUGCACAAUGGGGGAAACCCUGAUGCAGCGACGCCGCGUGAGUGAAGAAGUAUUUCGGUAUGUAAAGCUCUAUCAGCAGGGAAGAAAAUGACGGUACCUGACUAAGAAGCCCCGGCUAACUACGUGCCAGCAGCCGCGGUAAUACGUAGGGGGCAAGCGUUAUCCGGAAUUACUGGGUGUAAAGGGUGCGUAGGUGGUAUGGCAAGUCAGAAGUGAAAACCCAGGGCUUAACUCUGGGACUGCUUUUGAAACUGUCAGACUGGAGUGCAGGAGAGGUAAGCGGAAUUCCUAGUGUAGCGGUGAAAUGCGUAGAUAUUAGGAGGAACAUCAGUGGCGAAGGCGGCUUACUGGACUGAAACUGACACUGAGGCACGAAAGCGUGGGGAGCAAACAGGAUUAGAUACCCUGGUAGUCCACGCCGUAAA